GGGUUAUACAACUUUUGGAAGAAAUUUAUUUUGCAUUGUUUUUAUUAUAAAGCUUCAUGAUUCAACACAUAUAGAGCUCACUGCAAAAUUGACCAUAUCAACACACGACUGAGUAUCAGGAGCUCACAGGUGCUGGCUCUAAUCACCAAUAGUCAUGAAAUCAUGAUGAGUGUAUCAAGAAUUUCAUUUACUAAUAAUCUUGCCUGAAAGCUUGUGGAAUUGGGAAGGCUUUUUUAGUUUGAAUUAAUAUUUAACCUACAUAUGUAUAAAGAACAAAAUCAAAACUGAGGAAUUGAAACUAAAGAGGGCAAUAAUACAUGAAUAAUCAUUUAUUCGGAAUACGAAUACAAGUACAACACAACAUAAUACUAACUGUGAACGAUGGGCGCAGACGCAGUGAUGGUCUGUUCACCUGGAUUCUUCUGCGCUUGGGGUUUGAGAGGACAAGUCCAUUUUCCAGCAUUUCUUGCUUGUACUCCUCGUGCUAUGAACGCCCCAAACAUGGCCCCAAAAACAAACGGAACAACUGGCUUCAUUCUGUUCAUUGAAUUGGUUUAUAAGACUAACAAUCAAGUACUAAAUUGUUUAAGCAAAUAUGGGAUUGCAUAUUUGGGAGGUGGAUAGCAGAGGAUUUAUAGGAUCCGCGUUC
rnacentral:misc_RNA from 1 species